CCGAUGGCGACCGGCGCACGGGUGAGUAACACGUAUCCAACCUGCCGAUAACUCGGGGAUAGCCUUUCGAAAGAAAGAUUAAUAUCCGAUAGGAUAUCAAGGUCGCAUGAUCUUGAUAUUAAAGAAUUUCGGUUAUCGAUGGGGAUGCGUUCCAUUAGUUAGUUGGCGGGGUAACGGCCCACCAAGACGACGAUGGAUAGGGGUUCUGAGAGGAAGGUCCCCCCACAUUGGAACUGAGACACGGUCCAAACUCCUACGGAAGGCAGCAG
rnacentral:rRNA from 1 species